rnacentral:rRNA from 1 species
AUUGAACGCUGGCGGCAGGCCUAACACAUGCAAGUCGAACGGUAACAGGAAGAAGCUUGCUUCUUUGCUGACGAGUGGCGGACGGGUGAGUAAUGUCUGGGAAACUGCCUGAUGGAGGGGGAUAACUACUGGAAACGGUAGCUAAUACCGCAUAACGUCGCAAGACCAAAGAGGGGGACCUUCGGCCUCUUUCCAUCCGAUGUGCCCAGAUGGGAUUAGCUAGUAGGUGGGGUAACGGCUCACCUAGGCGACGAUCCCUAGCUGGUCUGAGAGGAUGACCAGCCACACUGGAACUGAGACACGGUCCAGACUCCUACGGGAGGCAGCAGUGGGGAAUAUUGCACAAUGGGCGCAAGCCUGAUGCAGCCAUGCCGCGUGUAUGAAGAAGGCCUUCGGGUUGUAAAGUACUUUCAGCGGGGAGGAAGGGAGUAAAGUUAAUACCUUUGCUCAUUGACGUUACCCGCAGAAGAAGCACCGGCUAACUCCGUG